AUUGAACGCUGGCGGCAUGCCUUACACAUGCAAGUCGAACGGAGUGGCGGACGGGUGAGUAAUGUAUAGGAACGUGCCCAGUAGUGGGGGAUAACUACCCGGAAGCGGAGCUAAUACCGCAUACUAUUGGAUCAGCCUAGGUCGGCUUAGCUAGUUGGGGGGGUAACGGCCUACCAAGGCGACGAUCCGUAGCUGGUGUGAGAGGAUGAUCAGACACACUGGAACUGAGACACGGUCCAGACUCCUACGGGAGUCAGCAGUGGGGAAGAUUGGACAAUGGGCGAAAGCCUGAUCCAGCCAUCCCGCGUGUGUGAAGAAGGUUUUCGGAUUGUAAAGCACGUUAAGUAGGGAGGCGUUACCUACAGAAUAAGCACCGGCUAACUUCGUGCCAGCAGCCGCGGUAAUUC
rnacentral:rRNA from 1 species